UACGUAGGGGCCGAGCGUUGUCCGGAGUUAUUGGGCGUAAAGCGCGCGCAGGCGGCUUCGCGCGCCCGACGUGAAAGCCCCCGGCUUAACCGGGGAGAGUCGUUGGGGACGGCGGAGCUUGAGGGCGGGAGAGGUCGGUGGAAUUCCCGGUGUAGUGGUGAAAUGCGUAGAGAUCGGGAGGAACACCUGUGGCGAAGGCGGCCGACUGGGCCGACCCUGACGCUGAGGCGCGAAAGCGUGGGGAGCGAACAGG
rnacentral:rRNA from 1 species